rnacentral:other from 1 species
UACCCUGCAUAGUGCGUGUAGACAGAAUUUUUAGAACCUACAAGUUUUAAGAGGGGCUUAUCUCUUUAUAUGGCGUGCAUGCUUGCUUCCAUUUGGUCGUAAGAAGCCCACAAGUAUUAAGGUUGGCACCCACCUGUUUUUUGAGGAGGCAGGUUAUUAAAAAUUCACCAACAUCUUACGGCUAAGGCGGGGAU